UGUGUUUGCAGAUUGAGGUGAUAUUCAUUAUUGUGGAUACGACAUACUCCCCAGAUGACCUGAUUUGGGAUGACAAAGUUGAGGACGAGAAUGUUGACAACCUUGUCCGGCUAAUAUAGAAAGGUCGCAUAUUAAAAAACGAUGUUUGUUGGAGGCUCCACUACAGUUGAUCUGGCCCGUAUGAGAACAAAGAAUAAGCUUAAAGAAAAAGAGGCCAAAGAGAACAAGGAAAGAGAGAGCCAGUCGGUUUUCAAAAGUUAACGUACUUUAUUAAUGUUACCAGUCGGUUUUCAAAAGUUAACGUACUUUAUUAAUGUUACCAUUAUUACUUAGACAUUAACCUUUUAUA
rnacentral:lncRNA from 1 species